UGCCUGGUCCCUGGCCUCUAGAUAUCCCUCCACCCUCCUGGUCCCUGUCCUCUGCCUGGUCCCUGGCCUCUCUUCUAACAGCCUGGUGGAAGUCACUUCUAUUUAUAGCUUUGGUGGUGUGCUCCGUGAUGUCACUGAGAGGGAUCAAAGCAGGCCCGUAGAGAUAACACUUUUCCUCGUGAGAGCCACCGAGCUUCGCUGUGAAGCAGCUGAAAGCUCCGCUCCCGUCUCCUCAGAGUGGAAACCGUCGUGCUUUCAGCCCGUGUUCUGUCAGCUGGCAGCAGCCAAUCAGAAGCCUCCUCUUCGGGAAUACCUCCAUCCUUCAAUUAACAAAGUGCAUUCAUGUCUCACCCCUGCAAGAGAACUGACGCGUACACAACAUAUAAAUGUCUGCCAAAAUUGUCAAAAGUUGUAUUCCGCCAUGCCCCACCACCUUAAAAGGGGGCAUUAUGUCAAAAAUGUGGAGAAGAGAAAAAUUCAGCCGGAUAAAUAUUAGAAAAGGCAAGUGCCCCGUUAUGGACUGCCUGUAUCAAAGCACAAGGCAUGACAAACACCUGCGGCAGGGCCACGGGGAGCUGGGUCAAGCCAAAUGUGAGGAUAGUCUUAGAAGAGCAAGGUGGAGCGCCGCAAUGGCCAAACUGCGGGCAAUCAGAAACUUGUGAAGAGGUCACGUCGCUCACAAACUGUGAGUGCGACUGGCUGGAAGAUUAAAAAGCAUCAUACUGGUUGUCUAAAUACGUGGCGGUUCCUGGAUGACGCUGAAGGGAUCAGGAAGUAAGCCUUGUUUUCCCGUGCAAAUGGAGCAUUCAUGACACCGGCAUUGAUGCGGAACAUCUUCCAGUUUUGUCAUUAUUUUUGCUGAGACCCCGCCCCCCCCAAAGCCGGCUGUCAAAGGCCCAAAUCACGGGCAUGGUGAGGGCCGUGAGAUCCAGCCUUAAACGCCUAACAAAAGACGUGCUUAUACAUCAGUUUCGGGCUAAGAACAUAAUUUCCAUUGCCAGCCUCCGCACUUGUCAGCAGCUGGCAAAUGAAACAAUUCCUACAAUACUGAAGGAAAUGGAAACAGACGAGAGUCAGGCACUUCGCCACACCUUCUACGGCUAUUUUUCAGCUCUGCUGUGCUCGAUAUACGGCCAUCGGCCAGGGGUACUGACAAACAUGAAACUGGAGGAGGUCGCCAGGGCCCAAGAAGAUGGGGACCAAGACCACGGCUACGUGAUUUGUGUAUCUACAAGUUUCUACACUCAAGUGCCUCAUCAACUGUGUUUUACUCCCUAAACGUCUGAGGGGGUUAUUUGAGGACGUGCUGGCUGAACCCCGCCUCUGCCUCCACCUCCACCUCCGGAGUGAUAAGAUAUCGAAAGAAUCAGAGUCCUGUGGAAACAAGCGAUGACAUCGCAGAGGUUCCAGGCGGAGUCGGGCACCUCGGAUGUUGAGGACGAUCUGUCAGACCUGGAUGAGGACGAUGACGUGGUGGAACAUGCAAGUAAAGAUAGGUUGUUUAAAGUACGUGACAGUUGUGUGAAAAUGGAACCUCUAAUAAUCAAUGUAUUUUUGUUUGUGCAUUGUUCAUAUUGUGUGUUUUAAUAAUUGUUCUUAUAGUGAGUUUUAAUAGUUGUGUUUAAUAAUUGUUCAU